rnacentral:misc_RNA from 1 species
AUGCGAUAAGUAAUGCGAAUUGCAGAAUUCAGUGAAUCAUCGAAUCUUUGAACGCACAUUGCGCCCGCCAGUAUUCUGGCGGGCAUGCCUGUUCGAGCGUCAUUUCAACCAUCAAGCCCCGGGCUUGUGUUGGGGACCUGCGGCUGCCGCAGGCCCUGAAAUGCAGUGGCGGGCUCGCUGUCACUCCGAGCGUAGUAGUUACAUCUCGCUCUGGGCGUGCUGCGGGUUCCGGCCGUUAAAAGCCUUAUUUACCCAAGGUUGACCUCGGAUCAGGUAGGAAGACCCGCUGAACUUAA